rnacentral:rRNA from 1 species
CCUACGGGAGGCAGCAGUAAGGAAUAUUGGUCAAUGGGACGAAAGUCUGAACCAGCCAUGCCGCGUGAAGGAUUAAGGCCCUCUGGGUUGUAAACUUCUUUUAUCUGGGACGAAAAAAGGGUAUUCUUACUCACUUGACGGUACCAGAGGAAUAAGCACCGGCUAACUCCGUGCCAGCAGCCGCGGUAAUACGGAGGGUGCAAGCGUUAUCCGGAUUUACUGGGUUUAAAGGGUGCGUAGGUGGGCUUGUAAGUCAGUGGUGAAAUCUCCGGGCUUAACCCGGAAACUGCCAUUGAUACUAUAGGUCUUGAAUUAUCUGGAGGUAAGCGGAAUAUGUCAUGUAGCGGUGAAAUGCUUAGAUAUGACAUAGAACACCAAUUGCGAAGGCAGCUUACUACGGAUAUAUUGACACUGAGGCACGAAAGCGUGGGGAUCAAACAGGAUUAGAUACCCUGGUAGUCCACGCCCUAAACGAUGGAUACUCGACAUCAGCGAUACACUGUUGGUGUCUGAGCGAAAGCAUUAAGUAUCCACCUGGAAGUACGAUCGCAAGAUUGAAACUCAAAGAUAGUCGCGNGNGAGAGACGACGACGACGACGAGGAGGAGGAGG